UAAAGGGUGCGUAGGCGGUUUAUUAAGUCAGUGGUGAAAGACGGUCGCUCAACGAUUGCAGUGCCAUUGAUACUGGUAGACUUGAGUGGGAUUGAGGUAGCUGGAAUGGAUAGUGUAGCGGUGAAAUGCAUAGAUAUUAUCCAGAACACCAAUUGCGUAGGCAAGUUACUAAGUCUCAACUGACGCUGAGGCACGAAAGUGUGGGUAUCAAACAGGAUUAGAUACCCGAU
rnacentral:rRNA from 1 species